rnacentral:rRNA from 1 species
AACGAACGCUGGCGGCGCGCUUAAGCAUGCAAGUCGAACGGCAAGGCAGGUGCUUGCACCUGCCCUAGAGUGGCGGACUGGUGAGUAACACGUGGGUGACAUGCCUUUAGUUGGGGAUAGCUACUAGAAAUAGUAGAUAAUACCGAAUGUGAUCAAUAUUUAUAGAUGAUGUUGAGGAAAGGAGCUAAGGCUUCGCUAAAAGAUUGGCCCGCGGCCCAUUAGCUAGUUGGUAGGGUAAAGGCUUACCAAGGCGAUGAUGGGUAUCCGGCCUGAGAGGGUGAUCGGACACAUUGGGACUGAGAUACGGCCCAGACUCCUACGGGAGGCAGCAGCUAAGAAUAUUCCACAAUGGACGAAAGUCUGAUGGAGCGACGCCGCGUGGAUGAUGAAGGCCCGAAAGGUUGUAAAAUCCUUUUACACUGGAGGAAUAAGCAGAGUAGGGAAUGACUCUGUGAUGACUGUACAGUUUGAAUAAGCAACGGCUAAUUACGUGCCAGCCGCUGC